AUUAUGGCAGCUCAGACUUCGGAUGGGGGGAGCCGAGGCAGUUCGGGACCGGUAGCCUGCCGGCUAAGUCCUGCCUGUUUAUGAGGGGAUGGAGAAAUAAGAAGGACGUCGUGGUGGUGUUGAGUUUGCCAUUUUCAGCCAUGAACACCUUCCAAGAGUGUCUCCAAGUUUAAGUUGAUGCAAUUUCAAGAAAUCUUCAAGAAAGCUUGUUUAUGGUUCCAAUAUUGCUAGAGCGGUGUGCGAAAUUUAGUUUAUGAGUUCGCGUGGCAGACUACAAGUGGAAUUUCUAAAUAAGUUGAAUGUGUUCAGCACUCGAUAGAUAUCUUCCUUGUCAUCUAUAAAUCGGUUUUUGUAAUUCAGUCUUGGUGCACCUUAUUACUUACGCGUAUAAUUAAUUAUAUUGAAUGGGAUGAUCAAUAUUAAUUUCGACCUCUUGUUUUUACAUUUUUGUUAUUAUCAUUUGUUCCCUCUCGUUGUUUAAGAUCACUCUUCUUAAAGGUUAUUUUAUUUGUGGAAUGGUUCAAUUUCCUUUUCUUUUCCUAAGAAAAUCUCAUGGAGCCAACAGUAUUUUGGGUGUUUUACGAUUGGGGCUAACGUUGGCGUGCACUCUAAUAAUUAGGCAAGUGCUUUACGGCGUAGGAAAAAACAUUGAUGCCUUUCAGGGGUCGAUCUAUUUUUGUAGAUUAAAGGUCAUUCAAUCGCAGUUUUUGUCCACAAAGUCUCUCUUAGUUAUUAUAGAGUAAACCAGAAAAGUUCUGGGAGAAGCCAAAUCUCAAUCUUAAUUGAGCUGAUGUCAUUUUGUAAUUUAUUUUAGUUGAUUUUGUUGGCGUCUCUCUCUCUCUCCCUCCAAAGAACAACGCCACUUGCAAAUAAUCAAUGAGGGUCUGUCUUAGUUAUUAUAGAGUAAACCAGAAAAGUUCUGGGAGAAGCCAAAUCUCAAUCUUAAGUGAGCUGAUGUCAUUUUGUAAUUUAUUUUAGUUGAUUUUGUUGGCGUCUCUCUCUCUCUCUCUCUCUCUCUCUCUCUCUCUCCCUCCAAAGAACAACGCCACUUGCAAAUAAUCAAUGAGGGUCUGUCUUAGUUAUUAUAGAGUAAACCAGAAAAGUUCUGGGAGAAGCCAAAUCUCAAUCUUAAUUGAGCUGAUGUCAUUUUGUAAUUUAUUUUAGUUGAUUUUGUUGGCGUCUCUCUCUCUCUCCCUCCAAAGAACAACGCCACUUGCAAAUAAUCAAUGAGGGUCUGUCUUAGUUAUUAUAGAGUAAACCAGAAAAGUUCUGGGAGAAGCCAAAUCUCAAUCUUAAUUGAGCUGAUGUCAUUUUGUAAUUUAUUUUAGUUGAUUUUGUUGGCGUCUCUCUCUCUCUCUCUCUCUCUCUCCCUCCAAAGAACAACGCCACUUGCAAAUAAUCAAUGAGCAAUUAUAGCAUGCACUAGCGGUGAAAUUUUUUACAUGAUUGACCUUAUAAAUCAUUAACUUUAGAUGGUGAAAACAAUUAUAAUCCUCAGUAGAUAGCAUGGGUGGGUGUCAAAACCAAACAGAAAUCUACUUUUGUUGAUUCAAAGGCCAUUGAAUCGCAGUUUUUUUUUCCCCACAAAAUCUCUCUUAGUUAUUAUAGAGUAGACUAGAAAAGUUCUGGGAGAAGCCAAAUCUCAAUCUUAAUCAAGCUGAUGUCAUUUUGCAGUUUAGUUUAGUUGAUUUUGUUGGCGACUCUCUCUCUCUCUUCCCAAAGAAUAACGCCACUUGCAAAUAAUCAAUGAGCAAUUAUAGCAUGCAUUGGUGGUGAAAUUUUUUACAUGAUUGACCUUAUAAAUCAUUAACUUUAGAUGGUGAAAAUAAUUAUAAUCUUAAGUAGACAGCAUGGGUGGCAAAACUAAACAGAAACCCUAACCGAUCUGACCUGAAAAUUUUUGGGUCUUUUUAGUUUGGGUAACAAGAAAAACAAAUUUUUUGUUUGCUAGUUAGGAUCGGUUUGAUUUGAGUUAUAAGCCGAGCUGAGCCGAAACAAGUUCCGGUCACUAUGUGAGAGAGAGAGAGAGAGAGAGAGAGAGAGCAAUUAUGACACACCAUGGUCCCAUGCAAUGGGCGGCCGAGAGAGAGAGAGAGAGAGAGAGAGAGCAAUUAUGACACACCAUGGUCCCAUGCAAUGGGCGGCCGAAAGUGGUGCUGUGGUGGUGUCAGAGUUUUCGUCAACUGUGGGCGGCCAAGAGAAAGGGCGCUCCGUUGUUGGCGGCGGCAACGACAGCAAGGGUGGCGUGGCAGAGCUCAACGAUGAAAUCGAGGUCACAUGGAGCCGUCUGUGUACAUGGGUUUUCAACGCUAGGGAUGCAUGCUCUAUUUUUCUAUAAACCAAAGCCAGUAAUUUUUCCCUUUUUAUCACCUAACUGAUGUAGCUUGAGAUGGACGCUAGGCCUGCGUGCGCUAUUUUUCUAUAACCCAAAGCCAGUAAUUAUUUCCCUUUUUAUCACCGAACUGAUGUAGAUUGAGAUGGAAGGGUCUGCACUCUACCCAAAAUAUUCUACGCCUCGAAGAUAACGUCAUUGGUCGCAUCAUGAGUGAAUUCAACCAAUCUUAUCUGGUUCUUCAUCAUUUCUGUAGUUAUUGACGACGCUAUCAUAAUCUCUCAAUCACGGCCACCCCGAAAUCUGUCAAUCUCGUAGUCAGUUCGUCCAUCUUCGACUUAUUGGACAAAUUCAUCACCCCUCAACUAAUUGUUUGGUACUCGUUAACGUCAUUGGAUGUACAAUCCUUCACAGCGGGGCAUGUCACGGAUGUACCAUCACACGGGAAAGGAAAUAUGAAAGUGAACCCACAAAAGAGAAAAAAAACAAAAAAAAAACCAUGUUUAUACGGUAAAUUAAGUUCAAAUUGCUUUGUUUCGAAGAUAAUGCUGGAGGUGCAUGAAAUUAUAAGUCCAACCGACAUAAUUGACAAAACGAAGCUAGGUCAAUUUUCACCCAAACAACAAAUUAUUAAUUCUUAGAUAUGAUAAGUAUAUUGAAAAUGCUAAAACUUAUAAAUAUAACGCAUAUACAUUCAUUGGUCACAGCUCCUAAUAACAAGGCUACAUCACAACCUUUAGCAUGGUAGUAACCUUCUAGGUGCAACAAUGUGCUUCGAUUCGAAAUUGGCAACCAUGUCUAUAGCAAAAGAUUCAGCAAAAAGUUAUCGAAUUCUAAGUGCCGCUUUACUGACUAAGCACAUGAAAAGGUUGCCAUAGCAGGUCGUGAGAGAGGCACAAUCAAAAUAAAAAACAUGAGAAAUUAUAGCUCAAAUUGAGGAGCUUCUCAAGACUUAAAAAGGCCGAACAAUGAUCAAUCAAAUUGAAAGAGACUUGUCACCCAAAUUGGUCCUAUAGAUUUUGAGACGAUUGCUUUUGGACUUGGAGGCGAGAUCUGAGGUAUGAUAGACGAAAAGGGUGUAACCCAAUAAUAGAAAGAAUGGCCUGAUGUGAGGCAUGGAACGAUGAUCGAUCGAACUCGAAGAGAAGGGAGUAUCAAAGAAGGGGGUGGGCCGAGCCUACCUAUUUCUUAAAUGGGGUAUAAUAGAACAAAUAGCAAAGAAUGAAAGAAAAUUGAGAUCACACGAGACACAAGGUUUACGUAGAAAACCUAAAAUGGGAAAAACCACAGGAAGAGAGAACAAUUUCACAUCUUCAACAAAAAAAAAAAAGAGUACAAUCUAAAAGCUCUAAAAUCACUUGGUAAAUCACAAGAUCUAAAUAUCCAAUAAGAAGAAAGGAAAAAACAAAUUAUGAAAUGAUAUAGAGGCGACGACUAGAGAUAUGUUAUUAAACACAUUUCUUUUACAAUCUUCCUUAAAAAAUUCUUAAAAUAGAUGUGCAUAAUCGAAAAUACUCUUAUAUCUUAAUUUGAAAGUCAAAACUCAACAAAUUUGCACCUUGACUUCAAAUCUCUAAAAGAGCAUUAUGCCAAACACCACAAGACCUCUCUCUCUUACUACUAAAAGUGACCACACAAGGCCAACCCCCCAAAAUCGCGGAAUCAAUGAUGUACACCCCUAAGCUUAUGUGAGCAUACUUAGUAUAGAAAAUAGGGAAUGAAAUGCCACCAACUCCACCUAAGCAACUCAAAUGGAGGAAACGCUAAUCAAGUCUAACCAAUGCUUGAACUUGAUCAAAGGAACUGGUUUGGUCAACAUACCUAUUGGAUUAACCGCCAUAGGUACUUUUUUCAUUGUAACUGUACCCUUAACAACCUUACCACAUAGAAAGUGAUACCAUAUGUCUAUAAGAUUUGUUCUCUCAUGAUAUAUUGCAUUCUUGGCAAUUGGAUCGCACUUUGAUUAUCACAAAAGAUGACGGAGGCUCCCUUAUACUUUACCCUUUUGCUUUACACCAAGUUCUGUAACUAGACGCUUCAACCAAAGAACUUCCUUUACUGCUUCCGUUGCUGCCAUGUAUUCUGCUUCAGUAAUAAACAAAGUAAUUGUGUCCUAUAAAGUUGCUCUCCAACUAACUACAAAACCACCAAAUGUAAAAACAUAACUUGUCAAAGAUCUCUUUUUGUUGAGAUCGUCUACAUAGUUAGAAUCAACGAGGCCAACAACCAAAUAUCCUAUAUCACAACCUCUAUUAAAGACCAAACCCACAUUUGAGGUACCUCGGAUGUACCGAAGAAUUCAUUUCACAAUUUGCCAAUGAGCUUUACCCGGAUGUGUCAUAUACCUACUCAUAGCACUAAUAGCCUUGUGCAAACCAUAGCAAAUAUGAGACUAUUCAUGGCACUAGAAUAUAGAAAUUGAGACAUCUUAUCAUCCUUUUCUUUAGUUUUAGGUGACAAAGAAGCCGAAAACCUAAAAUGGGACACCAAAGGAGCACCCGGUUUAGCAUUCUUCAUGCCAAAAUGCUUAAACACUUUAUUAAUAUACUUCUUUUGCAAGAGGUAUAAUUUCCAAACCUAUUUGUCUCUAUGAAUUUUUAUAUCCAAAAUUUUCUUAGUAGCUUCAAGAUCUUUCAUCUCAAACAAAACACCAUAACCUAUAUCUUUUAAACUCAUUUGCAUAACUAACCAAAAUACACUUCUUGGCCCUAGGUUCAAGCUUACUCUCUUUUACAUGAUAAAUAAGACAUCCAAAUAUUUUUAAAUUAGAAUAAUCAGAAAGUUUAUCCGAUGAUAUCUCAUUAGGAGUCUUACAUUUAAUUGUGGUUGAAGGAGAACGAUUUACUAAAUAACAUGUCAUGUUCAAAGCUUCAAUCCAACAAUCUUUCCCAAGUCCAACAUUAGAGAGCAUAUACCUGGCUCUCUCUAAAAGUGUCUGGUUCAUGCACUCUGCCAACCCAUUUGUUGAGGUGUGUACGUGAUUAUUCAAUGUUGAACAAUCCCCGAAUCUUCACAGUAUUUGUUGAAAGCACCUCCAUAAAACUCAAGACCAUUGUCCGUUCUAAGACGCUUUAUCUUCUUCCUAGUUUGAUUUUCUAUUAACUUUUUCCACCUUUUGAGCGUAUCAACAACGUAACUUUUAUCCUUUGAGAAAUAAACCUGUACUUUCCUAGAAAAUCAUCAAUAAAUGUCAAAAGAUAUACUGCACCACACUUAGAUGUUACCUGUGCUGGUUCCUACAAAUCGGAGUGAAUAUAGUCAACUAUGCCCUUCAUCGAGUGCACCAUAGUACUGAAAACUAACUCUGUGCUAUUUUCUGAAAACACAAUAUUCGUAAAAGUCAAGUAAGACUGCAUGAUGCCCAUAAAGUAAACCAAAUUUAUUCAAGAUAGUCAUUUCUCUUCCGCUCAUGUUGCCCAAUCGCAUAUGUCACGAUAUUGAUUUUUCAGAAUCUAAAGAGAAUGAUAUAUUUAAAGAACUCACAAUCAUACUUCCCUAUAGAAUGUAAAGAUUUUUCUUUAUGUUACAUCUCAUCACAAUCAAGAAGUGUUACACCUAAAUUUGCUUUUUUUAAAAUUUUUUUUUUUAAUACUUUGAUCCUUUGUUUGAAAUAGUCAUCGAUGUAUGAUCAAAAUUCCCAACAUGAAGUAGCCUCUUAAAUUAAGGAUUGAUAAUCCGAUUUUCGCGCCCGAAAUUCGACUCGCAAUCGCCUGGAAAAUCGCCAAUCCGAUAUUCACGCUCGAGAUUUGAUUCGUGAUUUAUUUAAAAUUGACCAAUCCAAUCCCAUGCGUGGGAUAUGAUUUGUUAAUUUAUGGAUAUCGAUCUUAUCUAAUGUUAUUUGAAUCGACUUUGUUUUCGUAAUAUAUAUAUAUAUAUAUAUAUAUAUAUAUAUAUAUAUAUAGAUGUAUAGAUGAGUUAGAUUAGGUUCGUUUCAAAAUAUUCCUCGUCUUAGGGUUAUCUUGCAUAUUUAGAAUAUGAAUUUUAUUUCGAAUUUUUAAAAUAAAAAUCCAAAAAAAAAAAUCAAUUUAGGAUGCUAGAUUUUUUUAAACUUAGGUUGCAAGUUUAAUUCGAUUUUUUUUUAUUAAAAAAACACAAAAAAAUUAUCAUGCAUAUGUCAUGUAGAAUUAGGACAUUUUUUGCACGUCAUUGCAUAUUAGGAUAAGGUUGCAUGUUUAAUUUUAAGUUUAGGUAAAUCUUUUAGAUAGAUUGCAUCUUAGGUUAGGGAUUAACAAGUUAAGAUAACAUUCAAGUUUAAGUUAGGGUUUGGCCUGACCUAAUCCUUAAUGUAAGUUGGAUGAUAUCUUAAUUUGGAUAGAUAAUUUUUGCAAUUUUCUAAUUUUGAAUUACAUGGGAAAUACCAAAAAAAAAAAAAUUGUCUUAGAAUAAAUUAAUUUUAUUCUCUAUGAUAGAUUGCAUGCUUUUUAGGAGAAUAGAAAUUCAUGUGCAUGUCAUAUAGAAUUAGAUACAUGAAAUGUAUGUCAUUGAGCUAUUGUUGUUAGGUCUAUUUAGUUAAAAAUUGCCUAUCAUUAGAGUUAGGUCAUUUGGUCAUAUUAAACAAGAGAAAAUUCUUAAAAAAGAUUGAGUAAUUGUGUGUUAAUUAGAAAUCAUAUUUAGGAUUGUGGAUGUGAAUUCUGAUUUAACACUGCAGAUGCUUGCAAUUUAUUCAUUACUUUUCUUGGAUGUUAAAUUGGUGAUUUGCGCAUCCGCAUGAUCGCCUCACAUGUUAGGGAAGUGAAUUAAAAUUAAUUCCAUCUGCUUGCCAAAUUUUUUUUUUCAAAAUAAAAGAGAAAGGUACUAAAAGGGCGUUAGAGAAAUCUAGCGUAACCAAGUCCCUAAACUCACAAUAUCCGGUUCGUAGGAGUAAAGUAAAUUUUCCGUUACUUUACUUGGGUUUCUAAUCGAUCUCCCGUUACUUUACUUGGGUUUCUAAUCGACCCACCGAAAAUAGAUUAGUUGUGACUUCUAGUUGAAAAUCAAUGGCAUGUUAAGAACUUGAACCUAAAUCGCGAAUUGAUAUGGGCUUGGGAGAUCCUGGCCUAAGUUUAUACUUAGUAAUCCAUUAGCCAAACUCUAGGUGGUUCACCCGAAAUUUUGGUUGCGACAAGAAGCCCUUUGAAAUUUUCAAAAUUCCACUUCCUCCUGUGUACAUGCAUCUAAUGGAAUUUAAAGUGCUCAAUGCAAUAAGGUUUUUCUUCAAAUUUGGGAUGUGCCUAAUAUUUGUGAAAAAUCUUAUUAUAUUGUCAUGACACUUAAUUUGCACCAUACCAAUAUCUACAAUCUUGCAAACUACAUUGUUACCUAUCAAAACUGAACCACCAUUGAUUUUCUCAUAUGUGUGGAACCAAAUUCUAUAUGGACACAUGUGGUAUGAACUUGUUGAAUCCAAAAUCCAUUCAUCAUCGACAUGACAUUCUAUAGACAAAACAAUAAGAACAUUGUCUAUAUUAGUGGACUCAUUAUUUUUCACCAGACUAGGCGAAUCGAAAUUCUCCAUCAACUUCUUCCCGUUGACUUUGAGCACUAGACACUCAUUUUUAUAGUGUCUAAAUUUGUGAUAAUAAUAACACUCCACUUUACUAUUAUCUUUGCUUGAUCUAAAUUUCGAACGCCCUUUACUAUUAUUGCGUCCAUCACGAUGAUUUGACCUUCCUUGACAACUAAGCCAUCACCUUUAUCACCACUACUACUCAUAUUCAAUUUUGUAUGCAUCUCUGCGGAAUUUAACAAGACUUUCACAUCCUCAAGAGUUAUAGAUUCUCUUCCUUACAACAUAGAAUUCACAAAAUUCUUAUGCAAGCUCGGCAGUGAACAUAACAUAAUUAAGGCCUGAUCUUCAUCAUCUAACUUCAAAUCUAGAUUUUUCAUAUCCAUAACAAUUUUAUUAAAUUCAUCUAGAUGUUCUUGAAUAGAAGUACAUUCCUGCAUCUUUAGCAUGUAAAGGUGUUACUUCAAAAAUAAUCUCAUCAUAAGAGAUUUCUUCAUGUAGGGGCUCUCAAAUUUAUUCCAUAAAUCUCGAAGCUAUUUCUUCAUCCACGACUUUGUGAAGCACUUUAUUGCAUAAUGAUAAUUGGAUGGUGUUAUGCAUUUUUUUCUGAAAUCGCUUCCAUCUCCUCGAUCUCAGCUGUGGUCAUAUUGUCGGGAUAAUUUCUGCUCAAAGCUCUAAUCGAACAUUCCCAACGCAAACGCUUUCAUCUUGAUCUUCCACAGCUCAAAAUUGCUUUGGCUACCGAAUGAUGCCACUUCGAAUUUGAUAGAUGCCAUCUCGAAUGAAAAGUCUGAAAUUCCUUCACUCUAAUACCAAUUUGUUGCGGAAAAACACCAAUCAAAGUUGCAUCAAUCUAAGAACAAGUAGCAAAGGAUAAAAGAAAAUCUAAAUCACACAAGAUGCAAGAUUUACGUGGAAAAUCCAAAACGGGAAAAAUCAUGAGGAGAGAGAGAGGAAUUUCACUAUUUUCAACGAAAAAACAUGAAUGUACAAUCCAAAAAGCUCUAAAACCACUUGGUGAGCCACAAGAUCUAAAUAUCCAACAAGAAGAUAGGAAAAAAAAAAGAGAUAUAGAGGCUAGGGUUGGAGAUAUAUUAUUAAACACAUUCCUUUUAUAGUCUCCCUUCAAAAAUUCCUAAAAUAAAUGUGCAUAAUCUAAAAUACCCUUAUCUCUUAAUUUGAAAGUCAAAACUCAACAAAUCUGUAUAUAAAUUUGAGAUGACCCAUAUAUUACCUAUCAAAUGAGUAGGUAUGGUCAGGUUUGAGUCGAUUAAAAAAUGAUCCAAUCAAAAUAAACCCAUCUAAUCCGUUUUGACCCAUUUUCAUAUCCAUACCCAAUCUAUACUCGAUUCAAACUAUAUUGAUAAAUUACUUUCAUAUUUAAUCAAUCUAGGAAAACUCGUAUCCAAACUAAGAUGAGAGUGUGGAGUGAGUGAAUGGGAGAUCGAGUGAGGGCAAGAAAGAAUGAAAAGAGAGUCAUAGAUGUAGAUUGAAUCUAAGUAAGUUAUAAACUUAUUUAUGACCCAAUUGACAUUCAUAUUAUGUUUAAAUCCAUUUAACUAAUUUACUAAAUAUAACCAAUCCAUACAAUUACUCAGCCCAUCAUUUAUGGACUAAGAAAUGGGUCUAUGCCCACUUUGAUAGGUCCAUCCAUAUAUACCCACUUUAAUAUAUUUGGCUUAAUAUAUGAGUUUGUGACCCAUUUUGAGAGCCCUCAUAUUUGUAACAGAAGUCGAGAAGAGUUCUUGUAGAUUUUGGAACUUCGGAAGCAUGCCAAAACCCACUGGGACUGAGCGAGCUACCACCCUCAGCACCCAAUCGUGGCCGGCCGGGGGCUCCACUCCUUGAGUAUCUGAUUAACGUAAUUAGCAAUUCAGUACCAAGAAGGAGAAAAUUUUUGAUAGUUUUUGUAGAACGAAAGGAAUGAAGAGCACUUUACCCAAAAAAAAAAAAAAAAUGAAAAGAAAAGAAAGGAAUGAAGAGCAAGAAAGGCGGAACUAAUCGGAUGAAGGGAUCACUCUAAUGUCCAAAACAGAAAUUAGGCGUCAAGGAGCCAUCUUCCUCACUGCGAAGUCAUUAGGUAUAAGACGAUCUGAAAUUUUUCAAAAAGCACUGUAAAAUGGGUCGUUUGUUGCUACCUACCGAGACACAACAUUCCAAAUGAUUCAAUAAUUAUGGGUCUAUUUAAGUAGCGUCUCCGCAGGCACUUACCCAAUAAUUCAAGUGUUGAACGAUCUCUCUCUCUCUCCCAGGCUCUUGAAGGUAAGCAGCCUUUUCAUGUUUAAUAAAGUUGAAGCUGUUCAGCAGGAUCGAUUUGGUCGACUAGGUUUAUCAUAACCUUCUCACCUAAGAAUGUAUGAUUUUAGCCAAAAUACAAUCCUCAUGCCCAUAUAAAGUUUCACUUCGCUCUUGUAUUUUUUCAUGUUAUCGUCUUCACUGUUCUAACUCCUCAUGGUUCUUUCUUCAUACAACUCAAGUGGUGUUUACAUGUGAGAUCAAACGUGCUAGAAUAUCCACCACUUUGCUUGCAUACAAGGUUUAAAAGUUUAGCGUAAUAUAGCCUUAACAUGUGCAUGUCGUUUCCUGCUAUCCGAUAGCUUUGUUUGAACUUUGUAACGCAUUUUUCUCAGGGAAAAGUCGGACAUUAAAAUAAAGUUUGAGAUAUGCCAUCGCCUAUUGAGGCACCCAAAGCCGUGGACGGCAGUGGCCUAACGGUAGAAAAAUCCAUCCCUGUCGCCGUGCAUCCAGAACAUGAAACGCCCGGAGGUUUCCUUUUCUUAACUAGCAUCGAUCAAGUGGCUCACAUAGUUGUGUCGACCAUCUAUUGUUUCGAAAGAAGCAACGAGAAUGCGGUAGAUGUGGUUAGACAAGCUCUAUCCAAAGUUUUGGUUCAUUACUACCCACUUGCGGGGAGAUUAGCAAAAAGCUCCGAAGGAAAGUUGAUUGUUGAUUGCCAAAAGAAACUAGGAGUGCCAUUUGUGGAGGCCGUGGCCGACUGUGACCUUGACAGUCUUGGCGAUAUGUCAAUUCUUCAACCUGAUGUUUUAGGAAAGCUUGUUUACAAAGACCCUACGACCCAAAAUAUGCCGGAAACUGCCCCCCUUCUAACUGCACAGGUGAACAAUGGUUUAUGUACUCACCAAUUCUGGAAAAUACUUCACAAUCAUUCUUACAAUUUACGGUUACCUAAUCUAAUGUCUAUAUUUUAACUUGGAGUGAAAACAGGUAACAAAGUUAAAGAAUGGAGGUCUCAUUCUGGGGAUAGCUCUCAACCACUGUAUGUCCGAUGGUAUCUCUGCCAUGAAAUUCAUCAAUUCUUGGGCUGAAAUUGCAAGAGGCAAGCCUUUAUCGGUGGUCCCUUAUCACGACAGAACUAUUCUAAAGCCAAGGAUGCCUCCUCGAAUUUGCGGUCCCUAUGAUGACUUUGUUCAACUAAGUGACGUAUCAAAUAUGACAGCUCUCUACGAGAAGGAGCAAUUUGUGCAUAAAUCUUUCCACUUUGACUCUGAGAAGCUGGCAGCAGUUAAAAAAAUGGCAACAGCUUGUGGACAGGUAAUGUUGACUUCAAAUAAUGCCUGGCAAUCCACAACGACAUAUACUUGACAGCACGAGAAUAAAUUUGGGGAUGAUAUGCCAAAAAGUUAGGAGAUGGUCGGUCCUUCAUUACUAUUGUCGGAGCGCUUGCCAACUCACAAUUAGUUACACAAGAAUUUAAAAGGUACUCCCAGGCAUAUCAAAAUGACAUUCAGAGUUACUUAAUCCAACUUUCAGACAAUGAGUGCACCCAAAAGAAAAUGACGGUGAAAAUAUGGUCACAAGAAAUUCUAGUGACUAAAUGGGGACUUCUCCCUUUUAUCUUAUUUUUUGGUCGCUAGAGAAUAGUGUUUUCAAAGUGCACUGACGGUUUCUAGUCCUCAUAAACAACAGGUGAAGCGCAGCAUCUCCAGCUUCGUAGCACUCGCAGCCCUGGUGUGGCGAACUCGAAGCAUGGCCCUCAAGAUGAAACCGCACCAACAAACAAUGCUCACUAUUCCGGUUGAUUUCAGGUCUAAGCUAAGCCCUCCCAUUCCUGAUGGUUUCUUUGGAAAUGCCGUGGUCUUCCCAUGCUGUCUUUGCAAUACGGGAGAGCUGUUUGAUGAGCCGAUCUCUUCCACUGCGGAGAGAAUAGCCGAGGCGAUCGAGCGGGUGAAUGAAGACUAUGCGCGGUCAAGGAUCGACUAUUUGGACAAGUAUGGAUUUGAAGAGUUCGCCCUGGGCACGCUACUAAUAAGUUCUUGGACGAAGCUGGAUUAUGGCAGCUCAGACUUCGGAUGGGGGGAGCCGAGGCAGUUCGGGACCGGUAGCCUGCCGGCUAAGUCCUGCCUGUUUUUGAGGGGAUGGAGAAAUAAGAAGGACGUCGUGGUGGUGUUGAGUUUGCCAUUUUCAGCCAUGAACACCUUCCAAGAGUUGCUUCAAGUUUAAGUUGAUACAUCUUCAAGACAGCUUGUUUAUAGUUGCAAUAUUGCUAUACGUGGCGAGAGUGGGGUGCGAAAUUAGUUUGAGUUGGUGUGACAAACGACAAGUGGAAUUUCGAAAUAAGUUGGAU
rnacentral:lncRNA from 1 species